UAUAAAAGCAAAUUGUAAAAAAAAAAAAUGCAUCAUGUUCUCAGUUAUGUAUAAACAUACAUACAAAUGAAAAUUACAUUUUUCUUUAUUCAAGAGGAAUGCACAAAGAAAAUAUGGAAAUUUGGAAGGAAACACUCCAAACUGGUAAUAGUGACUUCUGGGAAGGUUAUUGGGAUUCUGACUAUAUUGUGCACAUGGCAUUAUUUCUUCUUUCAACUCUUCCAUAUAUUUGAAAUUUUUUACUAUGGUCAUACAUUGGUUAAUAGUUAAUAAAAAGCAGUAAACAUUUCAUAUAGAAUAUAGGGCGUUUUCUCUUCUUUUGCAAGGAUAUUCACUUGUUUAGGAAACCAAGAGGCCAUUUCAGACUCAAAAUUUAUCUGGUCUAUGAGGAAAAUACUAAGAGGUGGUCCCGUCUGUUUUUGUGUUUACAAAACAACAUCAUUACUUUGCAUACCAACAUGUAAGAUAUUCUUUCCCCCAUCUCUGUGUCUAUGUUCAUUUUCUUUGUUGCCCACUACUUCUGAGUCAACUUUCAGCCAAUAUGGCAGGCUGAAUUCAAUUAAAGGACUUCUUCCUCUGAUUCCAGAAAUAAAAUAAAACAACAAAAUUUUUAAGAUAUAGGAAAGCUCAAAAUUAAGAAAGGGAUCUCUUCAGGUGUCAGUAAAAAAGGAGAAUUUCAGUCAGACCAGUGAACAGAUGCCAAACAGCACAAAGGACUAUUGGAACUGAUCACUGGUUGGGCGUUUGGUCCCUGCAGAGCUAAAGGAGUAUUAUCUCUGGAAGACUGGAGGACGGGGCACAGAAGUUGAGCUACCUACAGAAAGAUGAGACCCCGUAAGAGAUGCCCAUUCAUCUACAAAGGCUUUCGUCAGGAGGCGGCUUGCCCUGUUUCAGGUGUGGAUGCGGAUGUCUGGUUUUCCCCCAGGCUGGUGAAGAGCCUUGUGUUGACGGUGUCUUGCCCAGCGUCCUCAGUCCCUGAAAGGAAAAUGAAGAUACCAGGUCACCUACAAGAGAUUGUCAGCCGGGCGUGGUGGCUCACGCCUGUAAUCCUAGCACUUUGGGAGGCCAAGGUGGGCGGAUCACAAGGUCAGGAGUUUGAGACCAGCCUGGCCAAUAUGGUGAAACCCCAUCUCUACUAAAAAUACAAAAACUAGCCGGGCGUGGUGGCACGUGCCUGUAAUCUCAGCUACUCUGGAGGCUGAGGCAGGAGAAUCACUUGAACCUGGGAGGUGGAGUUUGCAGUGAGCCGAGAUUGCGCCAUUCCACUCCAGCCUGGGCAACAGAGUGAGACUCCAUCUCAAAAAAAAAAAAAGGUUGUCGUGGAGAAUAUGUUGUCUAAGGGACAGCACAUGAGAGAAUGGGAAUGUCAAACCCAAGGAGACACAUGCCAUUCUGAAAACGUUAUCAUUGAUACUCAGCUCAAGUGCUUCAUUCAUGGCAAACAUCGGAGAAAAUUACAAGGCUAAUAACACACUCCAGUAGUCGGCAUCUGCAAAAGGGCAGGCCACAUCCUGAGGACGCUCCCUCUACAUUCGCCCACUAGCCACUCUCUUUCUCCAAUAAAAGAUAUCUUUAAAUAUGUAAAUUCCUUCACACCAGAACAUAAUUUAAUGUAACAAGACAAAGUUUUUCUCCUAGAAGAUAUAUAAAGAAUGAUGUUCAGGACACUGUUUCUUUUUAGGACAUUUUUGUUUUCAAUGGCAAAAGCUUAGAAACAAUCUAUGGCCAGGCACGGUGACUCACGCCUGUAAUCCCAGCAUUUUGGAAGGCCAAAGUGAGAGGAUCCCUUGAGACCUGGGGUUCAAGACCAGCCUGGGCAACAAAGUGAGACCCCCCCAUCCCUACAAAAAAAUUUUUUUUUAAAUUAGCCAGGUAUGGUGGUGCAUGCCUAUAGUCUCAGCUACUCAGGAGGCUGAAGUGGGAGGAUUGCUUGAGCCUGGGACGUCAAGGUUGCGAUGAGCCGAGAUCAUGCCACCACACUCCAGCCUGGGCAACAGAGUUCAACCCUGUGUCCGAAAAAAAAAAAAUCUACAUGCUCCUGAAUUGGGGGACAAACUAUGGUUCAUUUGCAUUAAGAAGUUAUAAGCAACAUUUGAAAAGAAUCUAUAGGGCCAAUCUAUAGAGAUCUGGGAAAAGCUCCAAAAUUUUAAGUUGGAAAAGAAAGCAAGUAGCAAAACAAUAACUUUAGUAUGGUGGUACGUAACUAAAAACCAAUUAGGCCAGGCACGGUGGCUCACACCUGUAAUCCCAGCACUUUGGGAAGCCAAGGAGUUCAAGGAGGUCAGGAGUUCGAGACCAUCCUGGCUAACACGGUGAAACCCCAUCUCUACUAAAAAUACAAAACAUUAGCCAGGCAUGGUGGCGGGCACCUGUAGUCCCAUCUACUCAGGAGGCUGAGGCAGGAGAAUGGCAUGAACCUGGGAGGUGGAGCUUGCCAUGAGCUGAGAUUGCACCACUGCACUCUAGCCUGGGCAACAGAGUGAGACUCCAUCUCAAAAAAAAAAUAGUAAUAAUUACAAAAGAAGAUAGAAAUGUCUGUGACAGCAUGGUGGGUGAGGUAUUCAUUGAAUUGGCCCUUCCAGCCCGGAAAUAACUUCACAGGCUUUCCCCCAUCUAGAAGCCAGAUUGAACACACAGACUGCUCUCUGAAAGAUAAUUGAAAGCAAAGAACCACACACUAAAAUUGCCAAACUCAAAGAUAACCACAUCAGUGGAAAUAAGGAGAGCAAGGGGCUUGGGAACUUGUCUCUACUGCCAGAUUUGUACUUUGCCUGUCUUGUCUAGAUAGCCCCCUUUUGUGGCUUGAUUUUGCUGAAACAGUUUAAAAAUUUACAUUCAAUUUAUUAUUACAUUAUUCUCUAUUUUUGUAUCACUUCUGUUUCAAUCAUAUUCAUUUAACACAAUAUUUUAAACUUUGUUCUUUGUUCAUAUAUAUGUAUGUGUAUAUACAUAUGCAAAGUCUCACUCUGUUACCCAGGCUGAAGUGCAGUGUCGUGAUCUCAGCUCACUGCAACCUCCACAUCCCAGGUUCAAGCGAUCCUCC
rnacentral:lncRNA from 1 species